AUGUCUUACUAUUGGAGCGUCGGACAGUAGCAGAUGUCGCGAGACUCCGGGAUCCAAGUCCGUCCGGGGCGACCGAGUAGUCUCCGUCUGUGGGCGAGUAGUUGGUCACCUUAGCGGUGUGAGGGUGGACGGUGGCCCCUGCACUCCCUAAAUGAUACGAAGGACUUGUUUGUCCCCUGAACCUAAGGACUGGAGAAACAAAAGAAAUAAAAGAGAAGAGAAAAGAGAAGAGAAGAGAACCUUUCCCAUUUGUUCUGUGAAGUCACUCUACUCAUGGAAGCUGGAACAGUGAGUGUAAAUGUUGGCAGGAGAUUCUUUCCACAGCAGACCUGACCACAGCAGACCAGCAGACCUGACCUAACAUGGUGAAUAUAACUAGCAUCAGUAUUUCCUGAGUGCACUUUUAACACCCAAGCCAAAAUGAGAAACCUGGCUAUUUGGCCAAGAUGGCUCAGUUCAGCAACGAAGUCAAGUCCCUACUUACCUGUUAUUUCAUUGUCAGGAACUCAGCCACCACCUGUCCUAUGUAUUCUCAUCCAGGAACAGUUUGAAAACCGGGUUGAUAAAACUGGGGAAAGGGAAAGAAGCCACGAGAAUCCAGAAGUUGGAAGCAUCACUGGACACACCAGGCAGGAAUCCCCCACCAAUCACCUGGGGAUGAUGCUCUCUCGGCCCAACCCACAGGGGUGCACUGACAGGGUGAGCCCCCAAGUCUCCUGGGGUCCAAAGGAAGGGAGCAAUGGUUGCUCUGCACUUUAAGGAGAUAUUAUCCUGAUCUCAUAGAUGACAAUAUGAAAAUCAUGCAGUUUUAUACUUGAAGUAGACUUUCUGCUCACAGUUAUUAUUUCAUUAGUUUUAAUUUUCAGGAUGAAACAUAAAGUCCGAGGAAACCCUCAGCAUAAUCACUUGGGGACUCAUGUUUCCACAGCAAAGACACCAGUCCUGAACUUCUCCUUUCAGAAUUCUUGGGAAAUGCUCAUCUAUCUCCUUACCUCAGAAGGGCUCCUGUCCUAUCUCACACUUGAAGAAGUCCAUCUGAAGCAAGGCUGCAGCUCCCUGCCAUGAUGCUACAUAUUCCUGCAUCUCUCCUCACUAGUGACUACUUUCCUGUUUAAAUUCAAAGUCAAUGGGGCGCCUAGGGGGCUCAGUGGUUGAGUGCCUGCCUUCAACUCAGGAUAUGAUCCUGUGAUCCUGGGAUCUAGUCCCGCAUUGGGCUCCCUGCAAGGAGCCCGCUUCUCCCUCUAU